UGUCUGUAAUGUGGGGGGAGGAAGGAAUUGGGACUCAUGGUCGAGGUGAUCUCUUUUAUUAGACCAACUCGAUUUUUGCAAAAAGAAGUCUUUUU